rnacentral:rRNA from 1 species
UACGUAGGAGACGAGCGUUGUCCGGAGUUACUGGGCGUAAAGGGUGCGCAGGUGGCGGCGCGCGUGGGGGGUGAAAUCGCCCGGCUUAACUGGGCGGGGGCCUUCCAGACGGCGUGGCUUGAGCAGCGGAGGGGGACGUGGAAUUCCGGGUGGAGCGGUGAAAUGCGUUGAUAUCGGAAGGAACGCCGGUGGCGAAAGCGGUCUGCUGGCCCUCUACUGACGCUGAGGCGCGAAAGCCAGGGGAGCAAACGGG